UUACUAUUCCCUCCAUCCGGAAAUACUUGUCGUAGAAAUGCAUAAAAAAUGAUGUAUCUAGAACUAAAAUACAUCUAGAUAUAUCCAUUUCUCCGACAAGUAUUUCGGGACGGAGGGAGCAUUUG
rfam:Triticum aestivum genome assembly, contig: Triticum_aestivum_CS42_TGACv1_scaffold_576885_7BL